UGCCUAUUUCGCUCAGGCGGAGCUCGACCGCCGACCGUAGACGUCGAUGCGUUCAUUGCCGCGCACCGCGACGAGCAUGGGGUCGAGCCGAUCUGCGAGGUCCUGAAAGAGACUGGAAUCCCGAUCGCCCCA
rfam:Mobilicoccus pelagius NBRC 104925 DNA, contig: MOPEL138.